UGGGGAAUAUUGCACAAUGGGCGCAAGCCUGAUGCAGCCAUGCCGCGUGUGUGAAGAAGGCCUUCGGGUUGUAAAGCACUUUCAGCGGGGAGGAAGGCGAUAAGGUUAAUAACCUUUUCGAUUGACGUUACCCGCAGAAGAAGCACCGGCUAACUCCGUGCCAGCAGCCGCGGUAAUACGGAGGGUGCAAGCGUUAAUCGGAAUUACUGGGCGUAAAGCGCACGCAGGCGGUCUGUCAAGUUGGAUGUGAAAUCCCCGGGCUUAACCUGGGAACUGCCUUGGAAACUGGCAGGCUAGAGUAUUGUAGAGGGGGGUAGAAUUCCAGGUGUAGCGGUGAAAUGCGUAGAGAUCUGGAGGAAUACCGGUGGCGAAGGCGGCCCCCUGUACAACGACUGACGCUGAGGUGCGAAAGCGUGGGGAGCAAACAGG
rnacentral:rRNA from 1 species